rnacentral:lncRNA from 13 species
AGAUCUACCCUUUUAGACCACAGGACACCCCGUGAUAUUAGAUAGUGACAGAACAGGAACAAGCUUUGCAGUUCCACUGUAUAUUAUCAAAAAGACUUGAAUCCAUCCAGCCCAACAAGUUUGAGUUUUAUGUUUUUUUGGUUUUUGGGGUUUUUUUUGGUCAAAUGAUUCUUUCUUGAAAUAUUUUCCUUUGUGCUUCUUAACUAGCUGGGCAUUCCACAGCACCACUGUUGAUGUCAUCUAUGAUGUCAUGAGGGUGCGGCCACCAACAUUACAGCCCACAGACUGGGCAGUCCCCAGUGUCUCUUUAAUGGUUCCAGAGAGUUCUCUGGCUAAAGAACAGUGCUGCAUCUGUCGAGCAAUGUCGAUAAUCUCAUCAAAACACAGCAAAAGGUCAGGAGACAGGUCUGAGCAGCCUGGAUUACAGCCAUCCCAACAUCAUAGUGAAAGACGGUGAGAGGAGGAAACUGAGGCUUGGAGAGAAAAGUAGCUUGUCUGAGCAUCACAGCUGGUAAGUGUAGGAGUCAGGACUUGAACACCGUAUUGUGCGCUGGUGCCACUUGGCUUGGGAUCUGGAGCGUGGAUCUUGGUGCAGCAUCAAAGCUCUCUGUGGUGCCUGCUACUCCCCCAGGGCAUCAGCUGUUGUCCACACCAUUCUUUAAAGAGAACUUCAUUGUGUGAGCCCCAAGUUCCCCUACCUUCUUCCAAACAAAAACAUGGACUGGGAAACCCGGCCCCUUUACGAACCCUUUCCAUGACUUUGUUCCAGUCAGGAAAAGAGCCCGCAGCUUCCUCCCCACCCCGUUCGUCCUAACUGUUCUGUGUUGUGAAUUCUCUGAGAAUGAGAGGGGAUGGGCUAGAGCUGUCAAUAGUGUGAGCCAGGCGUGAGCUCCAGCUCUGAUCCUUUUCAACAGUGAAGCUCUUGGGUCAUUGUUUAACUUCUCAAAGCCUUUGUUUCCUGGUCUGUGAAAAGUGACAGCGGUACUUCCCUUCUAGUCUCACAGUGAGAGUUAAGUGCGGUCAUACAUAAGAAGUGCCCAGCUCAGCAUCAGGUUCAUAGCAAGUGUGCAAUAAAGGGUAGCAGAGAACCA